rnacentral:lncRNA from 1 species
UCAUAAUAUUGAAGGACCACAAGCUAACCCAUGACUGAUACCUGCUGAAAUAAUUAAAUAGCAAUAUUAUAAAUAUGUGGAAAUUAGGGAAAAACUUACCAUAAGGCUCAAUACUAAAAUAAAACUGAAUUCGGUAUAACAAUACCCAAACUGAAACAUUUGUCUGAAAAUACUCUAGUUUGAAAAGCUUCUACUGUCUGAAUCAUGGAGUUGAUGGGACACGACCCCAACUAACUCCAACUACUGAAAACUAUACUGAUAAACCUAAAUACUAAAGAAAAUAAUCAUGUGUAUGAACUAUGAGGACUCACUACUAACUCUGACUACUGAAGAUCUGAACUGCUAAGGGUUCUCAGGAGAUCGUGCAUCUGAACCUAUAAUAUAAGACAUCACAGUGUAAGAGAAAAGUAUGUGUCAGUACUUGAAUAUACUGGUAUGCAAAGUAAAGUAAGCUGAAGUGCAUGGGUUCAUAUGCAUGAACAAUACUAACUGAAUGAGAGUACAUGUAUGAAUAUGUAUACUGUAACUGAGAUCGUGAUAACACUAAAUAUUGAGCUAUGGAUUACUGAUUUACUAUUAUUUGAGGUUACUAAUACUGUGUAACUGAUAGAUGAAUGACUGUAUCUGACAGUCCUAAUUCUGUUUCAUGUUGCUGAGUUCUAUACUGAACUAAGUGACUAUGUUUGACAGUACUGAAUUAGUAAAACUUAACUAAGUUUUAUACUGAGACUGAAUUUGAAGCUGAGAAUGUAAGAGGUAAUCAUCUAAUUGAAAUGCCCCUUCUAAAUAGAUUGGGGUCCAACCUGUAACCCCAGUUGGAAGGGUGUCAAUGUCGUUCCAUAGAUAGAGUCAAGCUGUAAAUUAACCCUCUUCGAUAAGAAGCUCUUUUGUCAACUCUCACUGACAGUAAAACUUAUGUGAGAUAUAUCAACCCUAAUUUGGUCGGAAGAUAUCUUAACCUACGCUAGCUAUGUAGUUCUGUAACGCAGAGAUUGCUACAAGGGUCAAACCCUCUGCUAGCAGAAAUGCCCCCAUCCCUGGGUUAAGUUAGUGCUGAACCAUACUCCUAAUUAAAUAGACACUGAACUGAUUUUCUAGUUCAUAUUAGGCUUGACUGAACUGUUACUGAGCUUACUGAGUUCCGUUGACUGAUACAGUACUACUGAAUUCUAUUAGCUAAUUGAGCUUACUGAGGUCCAAACUGAAUAUUGAACUAGAUCGGACUAAUGCUGAGUCUACUGAGUUGUUUCCUGAGUACUAUAACUGACUUAGAGUACUACUGAUCGUGACAUGACUGAGAUUAUUCUAUAAUUGACACUGGAUCUAGGUAAACAGCUAAAUUGUCAGGCAUUAAAUACCCCUAGGACUCGAUAACAUGAAAAGUAAAGAAUCACAUAACCUUGCAUAGCAUACAAAUACACUCUUGUUCAUAAUGCAUCUAUAGAGGCAUUUUGUCAAUCACUUGCAUGGUAUGAACUAGUCCAUAUACUAGCAUGAUAUCAUCUUAUUACUGCAUUCACAUGAGCAGUACAUCAAGCACUUAGAUGGCAUAGUAUAUGCACAUAAUACUAAACAACAUUUGAGCAUCAUGAUUCAAUUCCAAAUUCACAAUUCCAUGGGUUUCAACAUGAAUUCACAUGAUAAAUCAUGCAAAUCAAAUAAUUCUUGAUCAAACUUGUAAUAAAUCAUGAACUAAAAAACCCAAUUAAAUAGUACUUAUGAAUACACUUUAAUUCCAAAUCAUUGAAAUCAUGAAAUCGAUCUACUUGAAGUUUAAAAGUGUUUCUUGGACUCCAAGGGUGGAAGGAACCCUUAGAUGAACAUUUCACAUAGCUUGGUUUUCAAAUUCUUGAAGAAUAAUGGAGAAAUCUUGAGCCUUGGCUUUGAAAUUAAAUCACCUAGGGUUUUUGUUCUUGAGCAAUUUGAGAGAAAGGGAGUGUAUUUUUCUUAAUGUGGACUGAAUCUCGUGUUUUAGGGCUGAAUAGGAGUAGGAAAAAGAUCCAAAUACUCCUAAGGAUGCGGCUUUUUAAUGAUUAAAAAUCAAACUGUCGAUGCACAGACCCAAGCACCACCUCAUUGGCAUCAAUGUGAUGGCCAACACGCCACGUCGAGUCCACGUCGGUUUACUAGAAUUUACACCGAGCUGAGGGAAAAAUUAUCUUUCUACGCGAUGGACGAUGCGACACGUCGAGAUCAUAUCGACUUAGUGUUUUGGUCAUUUGAACAUGGUCUAAACGAGGUCUGAAAAAUCCAAAACUUUUUUGGGAGCACCUAGUGACAUUCUUGAUCAUGAAUCAAUCUAGAGGUCGAUACUUAAGGUCAUAAGAGUCGUGAAAUAGAGUUACCAACUUACAAAGGCCAAAAUAAUACUAAGUCUGAAUAUAUAGCUAGAAUUUUCUAAGUCUGGGACCCCUUAGCAAGCUUAAAAGACUGAGUUGAGCUUAGGAUUUUGUGGGGUCUUACAGAAGGAAAGAUAUAUAGUAAUAUACAAGGAAAAGUAAUAUGUAUAUAUAUAUACCGUAGUACCAUAUUUUCAUAUAACUAGAUAUAUAUAUAUAUAUAUAUAUAUAAAUGAGAAUAUAUAUUUACAUAUAAACAUGAGGUCAUCUCAAAGCAUAACCUAUACAUCAUAUUCUUAUUUAAGACAUCAUUAUAAUACUUAUUAGGAUUUAAAUACUAUCAUACUUGGGGUUUCUAAUCCAUAUGGCUAGAUAUGAAUUAAUCUUGCAUAAUAAUGCAAUCAUAAGAUAGGAGAGGCCGAAAAUGUACCUUAAAUCGUGAUACCGAAUCAAGGACCAAUCUGUAAUAAGCUAUCCAUAAUAAUGAUCAUAACAAUGAUAACAACAAUAUCAAUAACGACGUGAAUAACUGGCUACUCUGGGAAACCAAAUACCUCACUGAGCCUAUGCAUACCCCUACCGCCCUAGACUCAGAAGGUUCAAUCAACACACAACAACAUAGAGCAUAUUCUUCACGCAUAUCCACGUAACCGUCCCAUACUGGCUAAUAGACAUAGGUGCAUACUGGUGAUAGGCGAUACACAUGCAGGGAUGAAUGCAAGGUACACAAUUAAUAUCAUAACUCAGCAUAACUAUCAUUAUCAUGAUCAUUAUUAUUGCAAUUAACCUCCAACCUUGUUGGGUAUCAACGUAUCAUCAUAAUAUCCGCUAGCCCUGUCGGGUAUAAAUAUAAUCACAAUCCAUCCUCUGGCCUUUUUGGGUAUCAAUAUCAUCAUAAUAUUAUUCUCUAGCCUUGCCGAGUGUCAAUAUAAUCACAAUAGUUUCCUCCGGCCUUGCCGGGUAUCAAUAUCAUCACAAUAGUAACCUCCAUCUUUGCCAGGUAUCAAUAUCAUCACAAUAACCAUUACAGAAUAACAUAUACUAAUAUAAUCAUAAACAUAAUCAUAUCACCAUAUAGUAUCUAUCUAGAAAUUUCCUAACUACUCAUUAUUAGCUAAUCAAUGCUAUUAGUAAUGAAACUACUAGGUCGCUCGUCUUCACACGACCUCUAGUUAUUUGUCUAAACAUUAUACUUAUUCAGGGGAUAACAACUAACCAUUAUAUACUAAAUAGCCAACAUUUAACAUCUAACCAAGGUUCAUCACUAGAUCAUAAUCACCAUUUAUCCACCAUUCAUUUUUAUCAACUACUCAUCCUAUAUCUGUUAAUCAUUAUUAGACAACACAUUACUAUUUAUCACCAAACCAUCUUUUAUUAACUAACAUCAUUCAUUAACUAACCAUCGUUAACCAACUAAUCCUUUUUUAACUAUUCAUUAAUCAAUCAUUUAGGAAAUAUUCUGCGUUAUUAACUAAACACCUCUUUAUUACCGACAUUAGUUAUUAUCUAGCCUCAUCAAUAUAUAACCCCUCAUUGGACAACUAAUUGACAUUAUAAACUUAGUCAUCAAUAACACUAAUCUUCACCUAUGCUAAACCAGACAUCAUCAUUAGCCAUGCAUCAACCAUCGAUAGCUACCAUAUUUCAACUAAGCAAGACUCAUUAACUAAUACAUUUGAUUCCUAGCCACCAAGUGCUAUAGUCUCCUACAAGAGAACUAAUUACCACAUAGCGUAACCCUCAGUUAAGCAGAACAAUCAUAAGAUCAUAUUUAAUCUAGGAUCACAUAAGUUUUCAAUAUAAUAAUCAUGAAUAUACCAAAUAUAUGCAUGCCAUCACCAGUAUUCAAUCAAUAAAGUUGUAAGAAACACACCACAUUUUCCUCCAUUCCAUAUCGGAGAGAUGAAUACACAAACAUAUACAUAUUUAUAUUCAUAAACUGUAAUCACAUUAUUUAUAAUGAUAAAUACUUCUCAACUAUUCAAUCACUAUCAUAACACUGCCUCUGGUCCAUUAAUUUAUUUGAAAUAAUCACAAUAUCAUAAUCAUGGCUUUAGGACCACACAAAUCAAGAAUUCAUAUCAAUUAUCAUAUUUAUAAGCCUUAGCAUAUCCCUAAUCAUCUUACAUAUAGGAGGCAUAAUAUUGAUAAGCAUGGCAUCAUCUCUCACACAAGUGGCAUCUCACAUCUAAGAGGAAUAAUAUAGAUAGACAUGUAUUUGUGUAUAGGAUAUCAUAUAUCAAUAGCUCAUACAUCAUAACAAUGAGGAAUAUCACUUCUCUAGGUCAAUUUACAUAUCCAAGAGGAACAUCAUCUCUAUAGGACCAACAAUCAUAACUAAAGUAAAUAGCAACUCUAUAGGCCAAUCAUCAAGUCUAAGAAGAAAUAACAUCACUAUAGGCCAAUCAUCAAGUCUAAGAGGAAAUAACAACUCUAUAGGACAAUCAUCAAGUCUAAGAGGAAAUAACAUAUCUAAAGUCCAACCAUCAAGUCUAAGAGGAAAUAACAACUUUAUAGGACAAUUAUCAAGUCUAAGAGGAAAUAGCAUCUCUAUAGUACAAUCAUCAAGUCUAAGAGGAAAUAAUAUCUCUAUAGGCCACAUAACGUAUCGAGGAGAAAUAUCAUCUCUAAAUGCCCAAUAUCACUUCCACAAGGAGUAUCAUAAUCAUAACUCCAAAUCCAUAAUUUGGGAACAUCAAUACAAGUGACCAAGUUAUGAUGUAACUUUAUUCAAACGUUUACUAGCCUCAUCUAUUUCUAAUAUCCACAACUAAGUCCACAGGACUUAACACAAGCUUAGGCCUAAGUGGGCCAAAUGAUCCCACAUCUAAUCCACAAUUUCCAUAAUUAGGCAUACUAUACCCCAAUCUAGGCUAAGGUAUCUAGUUUAUCUUCUAGAUGUCAAGUAAGCCAUAUUCAAGCCUAAGAUAGAAACUUUAACUAGAAAUACGGGCACUUAAGUCAACUCUAGCCAACUUAAGAUUUCAAGACUACCACACUAGACCAACAAAGCUAAAUAUACAAAUAAUGCUUCAAAUGCUAAAAUCAUAUUCCAAACAUAGCAUUAUAUUAUAUCCAUGCUAUAACUAAUAUAAACUAAUGAGAAGGCAAUAUAAUUUUACAAAGUUAUAAACAUACUAUCUUACGGGUCCAAGACCCUCAUCUAAUUUCCAAGGCAUCAAAAAUCAAGCCUAAGCUAUCUUACUCACAAUCAAUCCUAACAUUCAUAUCCACACAAAAUACAUAUCAUACAUCAUCUAUGAAGGAAAGUGGACAGGAGCCUACCUCAAGGCUAAACCGCAAAACCUCACUUCAUGCACCACAUGAUCACCUUCACUUUACAAUCCUUAAAAUGCCAUCACACUAUCAAAAUCAUAAUCUACCCAUUAAUAUGAGUCUAAUGAUACCCAUAUUUCACUACUAUGCUCUGGAUCCAAAUAUGAAACCAAAACUCCAAGUGUGUCUUACAUACGGAAAAUGAGUUUCCAAGGCCAACCCAAUGUUCACAAGUGAACAAGGAAUCAUAACCCUCAAAGAAUGGGUGAAAACUAAGCAUACUUUGGGCUAAAAUCAAAUCCUAAGCUAAAUUGGGUUUUUGGGUCCAAAUAAAGAAAUUCAAGCAUGAAUUCAAAUUCUUACCUUAAUCUUGAAGAUAAUUGUGAUAAAACAUGAUAAUAAGCUCCCAAGUCAGCCCCCAUGAGAAAUUUUUAGUUAUUGAAAAUAUACUUGAUAACGCUCAAACUACACCUCUCAAUAAGAAUGUAAGCGAUCAUUGUCAAUAUAAAACCCAACUAGGUUGGGGUCAAAUCCCACAGGGAGUAUGCUGUGAACUCAAGUCAUUUGCAAUUUAAUCCACUAGUAGUUUAAUGUUUCCUAAAAUGGGGGGUUUGAGUUUAACAAUUAAUUAUUGGUCACUUUAAUUUCAGUGUUUGUAAUCAAGAGUUUAUGAAAUAACCAGAAUUAUGUUCACUAGGGCUUUCGGUACUUAACAGAUGAUAAUAGUGGUUCAAGAUUCUCACGUUAGGUAGGACACCAAGUUAUCUUUAUCGAAGUUAUGCUUAAAUGUGUCUCGACCUAUUUAAGCAUUUAUUACCUAAUCCUCUCGGACUUAGGGAAUUUCCAAGUCCUUUUUAAUAAUUCACUUCCCACUAUAUUUGAUUUAUUUCUCAUGCAAAUCAAAGCAGGUGUUGUCUAUUAUUUGAAACCAACAAACUUUAAUUAAAACCUCAAAAUUAUCAAGAAAUCCUACCACCUUUCGAAUCCCAUAAUUUAGGUUAAUGGAAUUUAGCCACUCAUAAUGCAAAAAUCAAAACAACGAGUUUUAUUCAUGCUUUGAAAGUUAAAAUUACCAUAAGAAGAAUAAUAACUAGUGAGUCGCAGAUUAGAUCACAAAGGAAAUCCCAAAAUAAUGAUAAUAAUCUCUUCAAAGUAUUUGCUUUUUCAAGCCAAAAAUAGAGAGAGAAAUAUCUAAGUAUAUUGUCAAAACUCACUGUGUCGAAUCAGAAAACCCUAAAACAAAGCUUUUAAAUAGUUCACCCUAAUUGUGGAAACAAAAUAAUAAAAUUUAGAUAUACCUCGGAUUAGGUGACGACAUUUAUGUUAGCCUAUCAGGAGGCUGAAUACUUGUCACAAAUAUCAUCAGCUUCUUCUUUAGUUUUGGCUCUUCCUACUUAAGGCUGACGACAAUCUUGAUACCUUAUCAACUCCUUGAUGACCUAUCAUAAAAUGUCGCCAAGGCUCUGCUUCAGUUCUUCAGUGCUGCCUUACGUUGACGACAUUCUUGAUAGCUUAUCAGACCCUUGACGAGUUAUCACAAAAUAUCAUCAAAGACUUUAUCUUAGGCCAAUUCUCUGUCUACAGAUGACAAUGACCUUGAUAGCUUAUCACAAGGCUGAUAAUUUAUCAUAAAUGUCGUCAACCAUACUUUUCUUCAGAUUUCAAUUUCUUUGCUUCUAUUUUUGUUGGUUCUAUAUCAUAUUAGCUUCUACUAUAAAAUCAAACAUAAACCAAUCAAAAAUGACAAAAGUUGCUUAAGACUUUGCAAUUAUUCUUAGUCAAAAGCCUCAAAUGUGUUACCGUUAGCUCACACAUCAACACCCUCAACUUAAAACAAUUGCUUGUCCUUAAGUAACUCAGCACAACUAAGAGAAUACAAAGUACAUUUGGCAGUCAAUCAUCCAUAUUAUCUUAGAACACUUUCACCAUCUCCAAGGUCACUCAAUUCAAGAACAAUGAAGAACACAAAUGAACACAAAGGGAUCCAUAUACGACAUCAAUUUAACUAUAACAACCAUGCAUAGACCAGUAUUACACUACCCGAAUAAGUUAGUAACUAGCAAUGUAAGCAGUGUGCCAUUAAAGUAAAGAAAUACCCCUUAUCUCAUAUCAGGAAUUAUAUAUGUAACCAUGGAGAUAAUCAAAACACUUACUCUCAGAAUAAAGUUCCAAUCAGUGUAUGAAAAGUACCAUAGGCUUGCCCUUAUUUGCAUUACCCAGAUCUUUAGAUAGGUCCGUUAGGAUCACUAUAGGACUUCUCUUAGGCUUGUAAUAUAGGCUAGGGGCUGGUAGGAUACUCGAUGGUAUUUAAAGUGACUAAGCCUCCCUGAAACUAGACUAGCUUUUUGGGGUUUCACUUGUUAUCUCUUUUUACUCUUCUCUUUCCUUGAUCACACUUAUUCAGGCUGAGUGCAGUUUUUAUCACAAUCACUUAUUAUUUUUCAUAAUUUUUCUUUUUUUUUCUUUUUUUCUCCAUACCUAGCUUUGUAUUCUUUUCUUUUAUGCUACCUCUCUUUAUACUCAUUCUAUAUGACGUACCUCUAUGAUAGCCACCAUCAACUUAGGCCAUUUGCCUAGGUCAAGGUGCACAUUGUCCAAGGAGAACAAUGGCCAAAUUAGGUUCAUUAUGAUCUAAAUGAGAAAAUGAUAGGUAUCAUACAAAGAAAUAGGUUAAUUAAGCUCAAAAUAGGGAUCAAGGGAUACUAUGCACACAGGUAAGGUCAUUUAGGCGAAAGUGAGCUAAAAUCAAAACGGCCUAUAAUCCUUUCAUAACCCCUAUCAUUCAAUCUAGAUAAGACCAACUGGGUAAGUUCUGGCUUCAGCAUACAGAGGGAACUAAGUAGUUUCUCACACACACAUGGCCCACAAGUAUAUCACAAGCUAUGACUCAUUCAGUUCAUGCAACUUUUUAGCAAUAAUUACUAUAUUACUAGAACUAAUGCCAUAUAAAGAUGCACAGUGGUUACACUUGAAUGCAAAUCACACUAUUAAAGAAUUAGACCACUUGAAGAGGUGUACAAAAGUCACAAAAAAAAUUAAACUGCCUCAAGUAUAAGUACUUUUCCUAGCUAGCUACAAAAUUUUACAACAACAAUUUACUCCAUACCCUCAACUUAAAAUCAAAGAAAAUCUAAACUUAGGGUUAGAGUAUACCUGGACUGGAUCAUUCCCAGGGGUCAUGGUUCCCUAACACUACUGCUGCAUCUCCAUUAGGAGACUCGCUCUGUUCUGGUGCAGCUAGUCUUUCUGUCUCUGAAGGCCUACUAGUAAAGUCACCUGCUGCUCUCGCUCGGAUGGCUACCUCUCAUCUCUCAUCAUCAACUAGAGACUCGAUCCUUGCCCUCUCUAGCUCCUCCUUUUUCUUCUUCUUUCUUGCCCUCUUUUCUAUUAUUCUUUCUUUAUCACUGUUGGGCUUCUCUCUCUUCUCUUUUCCUUUUUUCUUACCUUUCUUCUUUUUUUUCUUUACCGGUCCCUCGGUGAUAUCAAACAAUGGGAUUUCUCCCUUUGACUCCUUUACUGUCAGCUCUAAUGACACCAUAAAUUGAUGUUGCUAUAACUUUAUAACCUCUGCCUUCACCUUGGCCAAUUCUUACCUAAGUAGUGACAUCUCUGGGUAUGACCUCUCCUUUGACCAUGCAUUAAAGCGAUUCUCCAAUUCAUCAAUCCAGCCCGACAGGGACUUGUAAGGCUCAAGUGCAGCCUUAACUUUUUUUUCAACUGUAACUGCGAAUUGCUUGGCAAAGAGUUUAAGCUGAGCCUUGCACCACUUGGACUAAUUUUCUACUCUCUUGAAAUUCAUAAGAGUAAAGGUAAAUUCUAUUGUAGGCAUAAUAGUUGGAGGAUUUGACUCAGUUCUAGGCACUGAUGAUUCUGCCAUUGUUAUGGAUAUUGGUGGUAUAGCUUCAGAAUUUGAUAUCUCUGCAUUAGGCACUGAACUAGUACCUAUGACUUGUGGAUCAGUGGGAAUCUUUGCACCCCUGUCAAGCAUUAGACCUCGCGACCCGAAUUUUUAUCUCUUCUAACUUGACAAUCGUAGGCACAUUCGGUGCCCUACACAACUUUAUAAUUAAAUAAGGGAAGUGAUAUGCUGUAUUAGACCUCGCGACCCAAAUUUUUAUCUCUUCGACAAUAAUCUCUCCAAAAUUUAAUUUGAGGUUAGCCACAAAACUUGAGAUUAAUAUUUCUCUGUCAUCCCCGAGAAUAUUAUCACUAUCUGUGGGCAUUAACCAAGUACGAAUACAACCCUACCAAAAUCUUACCUCUGCAGUCAGUGAGGCUUUGAAUAUUCUUUCACCUGGGUUGGUCAGCUAUUCCUAUUCCUCAUCUACUAUAAGUGUGGCUAACCAAGUCUGUUGAUUUUUGGGAUGCUUUAACCGGGUAUAGAAAGUGGGUGAAGAGGUCUGAGGAGUAAAAUUUGGGCCGUGAAGGAACAUACUGAUUGUUGCUUUAGAAACAUCCACCAUUACGCCCCGUACUGGAACUUUGUCCAACAAAGGUUGGUCAGCUGCUUUUUGUCCUUCUUUGCACAUGUUUUAUAACCAAGCUUGGUAGUUCGCAUAGAAUUCCCUAACUAGUGUAGGGCAGAAUGCAUUUCCUCCUUAUGUAGUCCAUCCUAACUCAUAGCCAUGAAGUUUUUGCUCCAUCUCUGGGUACCUGCUCAACCCCUUAGUGAUGAUUUUCUUCUCCUCAAAGGCUGGCCUCUUGACAGCUCUUUUGUUAUUUCUACGUAGCCCAGCAAAAAAGAUUUUCUAAGCUUUGGGAAUCAUCCAUAUAGUGCCAUCUCGGAUUUCAGGAUUCUUGUAUUUGACCAUAGUUCCCCAAAUCAGAGAGUCAUUAUCAUUUUGUGGCUUAGCAGAAGGGGACUCAGUUGUUGGUCCCUCAAACUCAUGAUCGUCAGACUUAGGUUGCUCUGAAUCAUGCUCUUCAGAUGAAGCAUGUCAUACUCUUGUUGCUCAGAGGCCGUCUAUUCAAAAGCUGUAUGCUCAGAUGUUGUUGGUUCAUUGUCACUUUCUUCACUCUCCUCCACCUCAACUGGUGGGGGUGGCAGAGUCUUUUUAGGGCUUUGCUUCUUCUUUUGAUUCCUGAGUAGAGGCUCUUCCUCUUCAUAAUUAGACUCCUCAUCAAUGAUUCUCUAGGGUACAGUCUUCUAUUGUUCCUUCUUUGUAAGUUUGGGACUCUUUCUUUUAGGUUCCAUUUCAAGACCUAAUGGGAGCCUUCAAUGUGAUUACACAAACAAGAGGAAGUAAGAAGAAGUUCUUGAUUUUAAUUGCAAACCCAUAGACACCCAAAAACUUGCUUUUGUUUUAGUUGGAAAGUCUUUGAAAAGGGAGGAAAAUAAACCAAUGAUGGAAAGAAAAUAACUUAAAGAAAAUAAAAACUUAAGCCGGAAGGUUGAAAGGCCACGUUUUGGGCCAGGUCAGAUAUUUUUAAUUUGGCCCAGAGUGUCAGCUAAAUUUUGGGCUUUGGUGACUACAUUACUGAGAAGUCGUCACGGGUGUGAUAGCUUAUCACAAAUGUCAUCAGCCUUAUUAGAACCUUCUUCAGAGCUGACAUCCCUGAUGACAAAGCUGACAGCUUAUCACAGUCGUGAUAGCCCAUCAAAAAAUGUCGUCAGGGGCACUUGACUGAAUACAAUUGACUCUACCUUCUUUGAAUUAAACCCUAACUAUAAAAAAAAUUUUACUGGAAUAUAAAAAUUUUGGGUUGCCUUCCAAUUGCGCCUGAUUUACUGCUGCGGCACGACUUGGUUAUGUUGACUACUCAGACUUUGCCAAGACAACCUAUUGAUACCCUUUUAUCGUUUUCAUAGAAUACCUUAAUGAUUCAGAAAAUACUCAUCUCUUUUUGUUGAGUCAUAGAUGAGUGUAUUUUGAAGCAUGCUUCUUUGUCAUUGAGCCGGAACGUUAGCUCGAUCAACUCCAUGUCUACUAGUACUCUCCCAGUUGCAAGUAAUGGCCUACCCAAGAUAAUGGGCACUUUGAAAUCCAUCUCGCAAUCUAGGACUACAAAAUCAGUAGGCAGAAUAAAAUCGACCACCUUUACCAAAACAUCAUGUAAUAUGCCCACAGGCCGUUUCACAGACCUAUCUGCCAUCACCAACCGCAUAUUUGUUUGGGUAGGAUUCCCCAAACCUAGUUUCUUAUACACAGAUGGUGGCAUUAGGUUUAUACUGGCUCCCAAAUGACAUAGUUCUUUUGUGAAUUUCAGGGAACCAAUAGUACACAGGAUAGUAAACGCUCCCAGAUCUUUCUUUUUCUGAACUAAAGACCUUGUAGAGAUAGCACCACAAUGAAGGAGAUUCUCCUCCAGCUCAUGGAUAACCUUCCAUUUCUUAGUCACAACGUCUUUCAUGAAUUUUACGUAUCCUGGAAUUUUCUAAGGUGCCUCAACCAAAGGCACAUUUAUUGUAAAUUGCUUGAGCAUUGCCAUGAAUUUGUUGAAUCUUGCAUCGUUCAUUUUUUUCUUAAAUCAUUGAGGAAAGGGAGGUGGUGGUAUUGGGAUAGAUUUCAGCAUUACCUCCUUUUCCUUCUCUUUACUUUUCUCUGGAGCAUUAUCAGAAUUAUCUAGCUUCUCCGACUCCACUAGAUCACCUCCUUCCGAUUCAUCAAAAACUACCUCAUCAUUUAUAGAUUUGCUUACAAAAGGGCUAGGUAACAUCUUACCACUUUUAGUGGUAAUAGCAUGCCAUGCAUGAGCCAUAAUUCUACCAAUUCUGGACCGUAUCACUCGAUAAUAUUUAUCUCUUCCUCUAGUUGAAUAUUAUGGAAAAUUUGCUCAUCUGCUGCUCCAACUAUUUGAUUGUGGUAGAGUGGGAGUGCACCAACUGACUGAUAGAUAUCAGAUCAGUCUUCAUGGUGGUUACACUAGAGUUGGUUGCCUCCACUCCCUUCAACAACUUAGCCAUCGUGUCCUUUAAGGACAUUUUUUCAGAACUUAUUGAACCAGCCUCAUGAUUUCCAGGAGGAACAUAUAGCCCACUCCUGUCAUUGUUAUUCCUCCAAUUUCCCUGAUCCCUAUCUUUAUAACCAAGCUUAUCAUAGUAAGUCUGACCUUGAUUCCUUUGGCUACUGCCUCGAAAUCCCCUGAUUAUUAACAUAGUUCGCUUGUUCAUCAGCAUCAGCAUCAACUCUAUCUAAGAUCCCACAAUAUUUUCCUUUUCAAUCUUUCCUGAUAGCAAGUUCUUGAUCAGCAAGUCCAUCUACUUCUUAAGGUGAGCCAUGUCUUGGUCAUGCUCAUCUUAUUUUCUGCGUUGUUCUAUAGUAAUACCUACAUAAGCAGCGGGGCUAGCUACCACAGAGUCUUUGGUAUGCCAUGCCCGACUCUAUUUGGUCAUUCUAUCCAGCAUAUCUGAAGCCUCUAGGAAUGUAAUAUCAACAAAUGAACCACCAACGAUAUUAUCUAUAAUUGGCUUUGUAAUAGAGUUAAGGGCCCUGUACAAAGUCUCCAUCAAAUUUCUGUCCAUCAUGUUGUGGUUCGGACACUGUGUCAAGUUCUUCUUGAAUCUCUCCCAAGUGUCAGGCAAGGCUUUAGUCAGGAGCUGACUAAAGUUGCUGAUCUCAUCCCACAACUGUACCCUCCUUGAAGGCGGAAAGAACUUUUCUAGGAAAGCUUCUUUCAACUUCUUCCAAUUGGCUAUAAAAUCGGGUGUCAGCUCAUUUAGCCAUAAUGUUGCCUCCCUAGACAGAGAAAAUGGGAACAAUCUCAAUCUGAUAGCGUUCUGGCCCACUCUUGGAUUAUCAAAAGAUUUACAGAUGGUGACAAAAUUCACCAGAUGCAAGUUCUGGUCAUCCCCAGGAAGGCCACCAAACAAUCCCUUCAAAUUGAGGAGUUGGAUCAUAGUACUCGUAAUGUUAAACUUGGCCCCAGGUUCCAAUGGUGGAGGAAUGAUUGCACCCGUUGCACCUGCCCCAUCCAUGCCAUCAUUAUCAUCAUUGGGAUCAUACUGGACCGGAUGGUACUCUUGCCUUUCUCGGAAUGGACGGUUCCUGUUAACAUUACCUCAUAAUAGUGCAGCUAUCUGCUCUGAACACCUUGGGUUACCAGGAUUCACCAACUUCUCAUCUCCAAAAUAUUCAUCCUCAAUGUUUGGAUGUUGUGCCCAUUGCCCGACAUUUUGCACAUUCACCUGAGAUCUAGCUAAGGCUGCUAGUCUGUCAGCUUUUUGUUGUUCUGCUAUUCUUCCAAUUUGUUGCGAUUCUGGAUUGAGUGGUAAAAAUGGUUCUCCAGAACUUCUGGUUCUUGGCAUACACUGUAAAGAUCUUGCAAAUAAACAAAAACAACAAAUAAACUCAAAACUAGGAAACUUAACUAACAGUUAAUUUGUGCAUACAAACUACUGUUUACAACCGUAUUCCCCGACAACGGCGCCAUUUUUGAUAACGCUGAAACUACACCUCUUAAUGAGAAUGUAAGCAAUCAUUGUCAAUAUAAAACUCAACUAGGUUGGGGUCGAAUCCCACAGGGAAUAUGGUCUGAACUCAUGUCAUUUGCGAUUUAAUCCACUGAUAGUUUAAUGUAUCCUGAAAUGGGGGGUUUGAGUUUAACAAGUAAUUAUUGGUCACUUCAAUUUCAGUGUUUGUAAUCAAGAGUUCAUCCAAUAACAAGAAUUAUGUUCACUAGGGCUUCCAGUACUUGACAGAUGCUAAUAGUGGUUCAAGAUUCUCAUGGUAGGUAGGACAACAAGUUAUCUUUAUUGAAGUUAUGCUUAAAUGUCUCUCAACCAAUUUAAGCAUUUAAUUACCUAAUUCUCUCGGACUUAGGGCAUUUAUAUUCACUUCCCAAAUUUUACCUCAGGUUAACUAACCUUGUUAUAGCGCUGAUUAUUAAAUGGAGUUUUUCCAAGUCCCUGUUGAUAAUUUAUUUCCCACUAUAUUUGAUCUCUUUCUCAAGCAAAUCAAAGCAGGUGUUGUCUAUUGUUUUCAACCAACAACCUUUAACUAAAACCUCAAAAUUAUCAAGAAAUCCUACCACCUUUAGAAUCUUGAAUACUCAACACCUUAUCAAGACCUAACCCUAGAUCCCAUAAUUCAGGUGAAUGAAAUUUAGCCACUCAAAGUGCUACAAUCGAAACAACGAGUUGUAUUCACACUUUGAAAGUUAAAAUUACCAUAAGAAGAAUAAUAACUAGUGAAUCGCAGAUUAGAUCACAAAGGAAAUCCGAAAAUAAUGAUAAUAAUCUAUUCAAAGUAUUUGCUUUUUCAAGCCAAAAGUAGAGAGAGAAAAUAUCAAAGUAUAUUGUCAAAACUCAAUAUGUCGACUCAAAAACCCUAAAACAAUGAUUUUAAAUAGUUCACCCUAAUUAUGGAAACAAAAUAAUAAAAUUCAGAAAUCUCUUGGAUCAGGUGACGACAUUUGUGACAGCCUAUCAGGAGGCUGACGACUUAUCAUAAAUGUCAUCAGCUUCUUCUUUAGUUUUGGCUCUUCCUACUUAAGGCUGAUGACAAUCUUGAUGACUUAUCAACUCCUUGAUGACCUAUCACAAAAUAUCGUCAAGGCUCUGCUUCAGUACUUUAGUGCUGCCUUAGGUUGACGACAUUCUUAACAGCUUAUCAGACCCUUGACGACUUAUCACAAAAUGUCGUCACAGACUUCAACUUAGGCUAAUUCUCUAUCUAUGGCUGACGAUGACCUUGAUAGCUUAUCACAAGGCUGACGACUUAUCACAAAUGUUGUCAACCACACUUUUCUUCUGAUUUCAACUUCUUUUCUUCUAUUCUUAUUCGUUCUCUAUCAUAUCAGCUUCUACUGCAAAAUCAAACAUAAACCAAUAAAAAAAGAUAAAAGUUGCUUAAGACUUCACAAUUAUUCUUAGUUAAAAGCCUCAAAUGUGUUAGUGUUAGCUCACACAUCAAUACUACAAACCAACUCAGAAUCUUAGCACGAUAUGUAUGAAAAAAAUAAAGAACUCCAAAGAAUGACGCAUAGCCUCCCGAAGAUUGGAAAUGGCCAUCAAUGUUUUGACCCGCAGGACUCUAUUAGAAACUUGCUCUUGUACCAAUAAUACCAGUAAAACCUAGGCUCUGAUACUAAUUUGUCACAUCCCAAAUUUUGAGUCAUGAUGGCACCUACCAUAACCCACUAGUAGGUAAGCCGACACCAUAACCCGGAGCUAAUGCAAUGGGUUACCUUGGUAGAAACAUCCAACAUGGACCCUAUGUAGCAACACAAUAUAACAACAACAUUCUACAAACAAAAUUACUAACAUUCGAAUACCAAUACCAUGACCUGGUAGUAUAAGUACAAGAGCAACUCUAAAUCUGACAACAAAAAUUAGAAUUUGAAGUCUAGAAACUUAAAUAGUCUUAUACAACUGUCUUGAGUACAAAAGACAAGUAAAGAAAGAAUAAAAAGAGGGAAACUCAAACUCCAAGAUCUCGCCCUAUCCCCUGAUGAUCAACACAACACGAUCUCGACUCAACAGUGGAAACUAGAACUCAGGUUUGCACCAAAAAGGUACAUAAAUGCAGUAUGAGUACCAAAACACGGGUACUCAUUACGCAUCAUCGGCUGACUGAGCUCAAAUAUGAUAUAAAGAUGAGAUAAAGUAAGACAAUGAUCUUAAUGUCAAGGGGUAGGAUCGAACCUGAAUCUACUUUAAUACUACUGUAAGAACAUCUAUACUACUAAAGCAAUAACAUGACAUCCUGUUUCAAAAUACUCCAUAAUCACCAUAACAACUGAGAAUCAUUUUGAAAGAGUACAGUUAUAUACACAAUAUCAAAACAUCUACUUUAUAUAAUCAUCAUUAACCAUCUUUAGACCAUAAACACAAGAACUUACCACAACGUCCACUAUCAGGAAGUACACGAAAGAGAGCACAACAAAGAACGCAUCACAACAUCCCAUACCACCGAAGAAUAUAUAAAAGAACAUCAAACAAGAACUCAUCACAACAUCCUAUACCACCGGAGAGUACACCAAAGAAUACAACCAAUAAUACAAUAAAGCACAACUACUCCAUCAAUUUAACAAAAAUCGCAGGUAGCAUAACCCCGCCAUGGGUCAUUACCGAAAUCCACUUCCAAUUACCCAUACCUUAAUUCAACAUAAAGAAAGCAACAUUGUCAUAGCAUAGGUUUGUAAUCAUUAAUUCUAUAAUUCAUUGAUAAAUACUGCGAAGUCCACACUACUUAACCUUAUUUUUCCAAAAGUCAAAAGAUUACAAGUCUUAAAAUCACUAGUAAUCAAAUUGGGGAAAAACUACAAGACACCCAUAGUAUAGGUUAUUCAACUAUCAUAAGGCCAUUCUUUAACUAGGAUCAUCAUUACAUGAGUUAUCAACUAAGCCAUCUCAACUUCACAUGUUAGGAGAUAAUUUAACUAACCAUCACGCAAUACUAGAUCCAUCAUCACUAAGCAUGUCACAAACUUAAGGACUAGUUUCCAUAUUUUAAUCAAGUAAAGUCCACCAACUAGUUUACUAGGUUUCGAGGUUUCAAAUAAUAAUCAUAUACUUUAGAAGUAGCUAGUUAUCACAUAAGCCACCUUACUAGGCAAGAUUUCAUAGUAUAACCUCUUAUUCAAGUCAAGUAUAUAUAUAGGUUAGCCCUUGAAUUUUUUAUGAAAGUUUACACAUAACGCUAAGCCUUAACUUAAUAUUAGACAUAAAUUUCCCCUAGUAGCUAAUUUAGCAUCAACAAGGGUCACACCUCUUAUAUAGUUAUUUGGAACAAGAAAUGAAUAAUAAUUUACCAGGAGAGACCUCAUAAUUCAAGCAUAUAGGUGGUUGGCCCCAUAUGGCCUAAACUUACAAAUAUCAAUACAUAUAAGUAAAUUUGGCCCACACAGCAUCAUUAUGUUCUUACCUCUUUCGGAUUCAUCAGGCAUCAUCACAAUAUUGACAUAUUUCUCUGAAUUCAUCGGGAUUAUCAUAAUAUCACACAUUCCUCUAGAAUUGAACCGGGCAUCAUCAUAAUAUAACAUAUUCCUCCAAAUUCACCGAGCAUCAUCAAAAUAUCACAUAUUCCUCCGAACUCGAAUCGGGCAUCAUCAUAAUAUCACAUAUUCCUUCGGACUCGAAUCGGGUAUCUUUAUAAUAUCACAUAUUCCUCCAGAUUCACUGGGCAUCAUCAUAAUAUCAUAUAUUUCUCCAGACUCAAACUGGGCAUCAUCAUACUAUCACAUAUUCAUAUAGAGUCAAACCGAGCAUCAUUAUACUAUCACAUAUUUUUCUAGAUACAACAACAUACGUCCACAUGCAUAGCCAAACCAAUAACCAAAUACUCAAGCUCACAAUACAUAAAAAAAUAGGGAUGUGGGAUAACACUUGCCAUUUUACCUUACUAAUAAGCUUCACACGUAAUGUGAGCAUCAAUAAGAGCAUGAGUAUUUACCAAACAUUCACAAUAAUCACUUAACAAGGUUAUUCAAGUCAUGAUAAUAAGAAAAUAUGAUAAUCGAGUGCAACCAUCCCAACUUCUAUACAUAUACAUAUAGCUUGGACAAUCACUACGUAUCUAGGUCGCUAAGCAUUUACUUUGUUCAAGCUUAAGGUGGGUCAAUUCCCACUUCUAAAUCCCGAGAAUACCAAGCUUACUAAAAUAUGUCUAGCAUCUACCCAAAAUUAGGCUAAGUCAUCCAUACCUCACCAUAAAGUCUUACCAAUCCUUUCUAAAUCUAUAGGGAAAGUCUCUUCAAGAAUCCUUCCUAAGUAAACCCAACACCAAGGUCAUCUCCUAUCUAGGAAUUAUAUAGGUUAAUACACUCCUACAGAUAGAGAAGUAUACCAUUCAUGUCUACUUAGGACAACUAUAGUAUUCUCACACUAUUCAUGAGACCACAAUUAAGCUAACCAAGGUCCUAAAGUAAGUGUCAAAUAUCAUACCUUACAAAUCCAUGGACUAUAACAAUUAAUAAAUCCCAAGUUCACUAAUUAAUCAACUAUCGUCUAAAUUCCCCACCCAAUCUCGCAAGAUAUUAAUGAUUAUAUUAUAAACAAGCUCAAUCUGGACCACGAGUAAGCCUAACCUACCUUGAAUCCAAGCAAAUCAUGAACCAACGAGUUUUUCCUUUCCUUUUUGAGAAGCUUUCUCUUCCACAAGCAAUGCUAUCAACAAUAUAAUCUAAUCAUUACAACAAGAAUAAAAAUACCCAUUAUAGCACCAUUGUGCCAUGGGUUUCAAAAUGACAUCAAACCUCAAGUGGGUCCUACCUUUGGAAAAUGAGUUGCUGAUACCAACCCAUAGUCUAAAUAUUAUUAGGGAGCUAAUAACCCUCAAGAAAUUUAAGUAAAUCAAUCAUAUUUUUGGAUACAAUUGAACGUCAAAGACUUAGGAUUUUUUGGUCUAGAAAUCAAGAAAUUAAUAUCAAAUUUGAAAAAAUCUUACCUUAGAUUUGUAGAAGAAAAAUUAGAUUAACACAAGUUGCUAAGCUUCUAAUCAAUCGACAAGACUCAUUUUUUCUGUCAACAAAUAUUUAUGGCUUUUAGGGUUUUGAAAAUGCUGAAAAUAUCUCAAAAAUUGGCCAAAGGGCCUUUUUAUACGAGUUCAAAUGGGUCAGUAGGGUCAAAACUUGUUUUUCACCUACCAGACUCAUUCAGACUCUGUUUUUCACAAACGAACUAUGUAACCUUACUAAAUUUGAUAUUUUAGAUACAUUGGUGAAGUUAGAUUUGCCAUCCGAGGUCAUUUAAGCUACUUGUUGGUCCCACACCCAUAUAUUUCGACUUUUGACUUUUUGACUAAUGGGUCAAAUUAGCUUGGGUGCUGUGGGAUCCGAACCAAAAGUCUACCUAUCGUAAAAUCAAUAUUACAUAGCUACUGAUGUAGUCAAAAUUUGUAUCUGAAAUUGUUUUGGUAAAGUUUUUGUUUAGAGGCCAUUUGGAAUCGACGAAGACUUCAAAUUGGAAAAGUGGUUCUAAAAACCAAACAAACUGUCAUGUAACCGACUUAUCGAUUCCACCAAGUAACUAAUGACUUGUGACGGCUAUGAAGGAGCUCUAUAAGCAAAGAUAAGCAAAACACAGCUAAUGGCCUGGAGGUUCAUUACAAAUACACACUUGAAUUUAUUUUUGGUUAGAAAUGAUAUAAAUACCAAGUUCUUUAUCAACUACAGUAUAUGAAGGACUUUGUUGAGUGUCAACGCCUUUCCUUAUGUUAUCUUCAAGAAAAUUUUUCUUGUUCCUUCAACCUUUGCUAUUGUGGAGUUAUCCAUAUAAAUCUUCUCCUCAUCUUGAGCCGAAGCAUAAGAACCAAAAAACUCCUUGUUGGCACAUAUGUAGCAUGUGGCACUGGAAUCAAUCCAUCACUCUUUAGGAUUACCCACCAAGUUACAUUCUAAGAGCAUGGAUCAUAGAUCAUCCACUUUAUUUUUUGAUUCAGCCAUGUUGGCUUGAUCCUUCUUCUUGACUUUCUUUGGGGCCCGAUAAUCUAUGGAUUUAUGGCCAGCCUUGCCAUAAUUAAAGCAAUUUUCUUUGAACUUUUUAUUUAGAGGAUUGCUUUGUUGUUCAAAUGUUUUCUUUUAUUUCUUUAAGUUAUUAGGGUCAUCUUCAUCAAGAUUUGCUCCACUAAUUACAGAAUUCCCUUUUUCAUCUACUUUGUUAUCUUCUUCAGUAUGUAACCUCACGAUGAGGCCUUCAACAGAAAUUUUCUUUUCUUUAUGCUUCUAGUAAUUUUUAAAGUCGUUCCACAAAGGUGACAACUUUUCUAUUAUAGCCACUACUUUGAAAGCCUUAUUCACAAUCAAACCUACAACAAAGAUUAUAUGAUUGUUAAAAAGAACUUUAAUAUGUUCAAGUAAGGUACUCACUAUGUUUAUACCUUCUGCUAGGAGAUCAUGGAUGAUCACUUACAGUUGUUGCACUUGAGAGAUGAUAUUCUUACGGUUUGUCAUCUUAAAUACAAGAAAUUUUGCAAGAAGAACUAUUUAGUUCCAGCAUCCCCAGUUUUAUAUCUUAAUUCCGAUGCAUCCCAUAAUUUUUUCAAGGUUUUUAGACCGCUGUACACAUUGUACAGAUACUCUUGAAGACUACUUAGUAUAUAUUUCUUACAUGAAAAGUUUGAGCCUUUUCUUGCCUGCAUUACUAUAAAACGUUCCUUGUUCGGUAUCUCUUAGGGAAAUUGUUUAACAUUUUCAAAGAUAAACCUUUAAAAACUUAGAGUCGUCAAAUAGAAGAACAUCUUUUGCUACCAACGUUUGAAAUUCACACCUGGAAACAUUUUGAAUUUUUUUGUUGGUGCCAUAGUGAGCGCGACACUCGUAUGGCUUAUUGUAGCAACAGUUGUAGUUGCUAUACUUGUCUUUUUACCAUUUUAAUGACUUUCAACAGGCAUUUUUUCUGUCACAAAAAGACAACCAAUUUAGUAUGUCAGAAGAAUACUAACUAUAAAGUUUUAAAAACUCUAAGCACCAACUUGUUUCUAGUUUAACAGUGAAGUUUUUAUGUUUUUCAAAUCGUCAAUCGAAUGAACUUUAACUUGUGGUAAAAUUUUUAUAUCUUUAAAUCACUAUUAAGUUCAAACAGAGUAGAAAUUCAAAUUCUUUAAUCUUUAGAAGCAUAAAAAUACAGAGAUUUCAAUGAAUCAGUGAAGUAUUUAUAUUCUGCAAACCAAAUUCCCAAAUUGAUUUGUCGGUUAAGUUUUUAUAUUCUAUCUGUAUUGAUUAAUCAUGUGUUUCAAGGCAUCCCUAUACAUCUAUUAUCAAAACUCAAUCCUCCUAAAGGGGUACUAAGGCAUUUACAUAGCAUCUUUGCUAUGUUUUUCCGGAAGAACACCACAGAUAAGAAGAGUAGACAUUGGGUGAGUUGGGACACUUUAUGCUUACCUAAAUUAGAAGGAGGUGUUGGUUUUAGGUCUCUUUUUGAUGUUUCUAAUGUUCUUUUUUGUAAAAUUUUAUGGAACUUGAGGAGUAGACCUUCACAAUUGGGAGCUUUUAUGACCAACAAAUAUUGCAAAAAAGCUUCAUCCAGUAUUGACCUAAUGUAGGGGAGAUUCCCCUAUAUGGAAAAAGCUAAGAUUUGACAGAGAGCUCAUAGAGCAUCAAAUUUGGUGGAAGAUUGAGAAUGGGAAUUCUAGUUUUUGGUAUGACUUUUGGACUACAAUGGGAGCAUUAUAUCACAUUAUCGCAGAUAUAGGGGAUGGGGAAAUUGAAGUUAGGAAUUUUACAACUGUAAAUAGGUGGAAUGAGCAAAGUUUGAGUAAAUUUUUCCCUAAAGAGAAUGUAGAUUUCAUCAUUAAAAACAUCUGAUCUCCAAUGCAAAUAGAUAAUCUAGAUAAAUAGUGUGGAUGCUUGAACCUAGUGGAAUUUUCUCAGUCAAGAGUGUGUGUGAGUAUACUAUACAAAAGGAUCAGAAAGAAGACAUAUUUUAAUAUUUAUGGAGUGAUAAGCUGCCUUUUAAAAUAUCUUUUUUCACUUGGAGAAUGUGGAAAUUCAGGGUGCCAGUGGAUAAAAUAGUGCAACACAUGGGUGUUAACAUGGUUUCUAGGUGUUGGUGUUGCACUAAUGGUUACUAAUGUUGCAGGUAUAUACAUUGAAGGCUUACAGUUAUCACAAGUGAUCAUUAAAUGGUGGCCAAGAAAAUGUUGUUCAAACUUAAAGCUACUUAUGAGAGCUAUAUCAUCUAUAAUUAUUUGGAACCUAUGGAAGAGAAGGAAUAGAUUAAAGCAUUGAAAUACAUCAUCAUUUACUCAUUUAGUUUUCAAGGUCAACGCUAACCUAUGAAGACUCGGGAGAAUUCUACAUCCAAAAAUACAUGAUUUCCCAAUACACUGGUAAAAUAUUAUGGUAUAUUAAGAGAACCUUAAAGCCAAACUAUUUCAUCUUCCAAUUUGCUGGAAACCACUGGAAGGAUGUCUAAAAUACAACACUGAUGGUAUAUCAAGAGGCAAUCCAUGUAGGAGCACCUGCAAUUUCUUCUUGAGGAACUUUGCAGGUGAUUUAAUAUAUGCUCAAGGGGAAAAAAUUCAGGAAAGCACAAUUCUAGAAGCAGAAGCCAUGGCAAUAAAAAAGGCUCUAGCACACUGUGUGACAAAAGGGAUUACUAAAGUUAGUCUGGAAAUGGAUUCACUAAUGAUGAUUAAAAUUCUUACAAAAAUGUGAUUACCUUGGAAUAUUAUUGGGAUCGUGGAAGCAGAACAGAAAUAUUUAGAACUAUGUCAGGUUCACAUCCAACAUGUAUACAAAAAGGGUAAUUAUUUGGUUGAUUGCUAGCCAAUUUAGCUUUUGAUAAUACAGGUAGACUUGUCUUUAAUUUCUUCUCAGAAUUACCAAGUCAUGCCAGAAGGAUUUUGAAUCUAGAUAAGCAUCAAGUGCCAAAUUUAAGAAUUCGUACUAAGGAAAUAGUUAGAUAUAAGGAUGGGUGUCAAGGAUCCGUCACAACAAUUAUAAGAUGAGUUCAAGCAUUUUUAUUUUCUUGAUGUAGAUUAGUAUUUCUAGUACCUUUGUAGAGGAACAAUUCAUUUCAAAAACCCAAUUCAUAAGGGCAUUUAUAGAUCUAAAGUCAUUGUACUUGAGCGAAGAAUUAUAGAAGACAUGAUUAUAAGUCUUGGUACAGAUUCAAACUUCUUUGAGUCGUCACAGAUGCAAGUCAAAGCUAUAGGAAAACACACAGAUAUAAAGAUAAAUAUUUGCAAAGGGAAAGCCAACUUAUACCUGGAAAAAACUCCAAAAAUCUAUUUGAAGCAGGUUGUGGUCGGUUAAUAAGAAGCUCGCCGGAAGUCUUUCGCUCCAGGAGCUCAUCACCAAACAUUUUUGUUGCUAAAAAUAUUAGUAGGAAAGCCAAGAAAUAAAAAUAAUAUGGGAAAGGAGCUUACAUUUGUUUCACAGCAGGUCAUCACUUUCCUAUUUGCUCAAAUGAUGGAAGAUGAUGGAGAGGAAUUAGCAGAGCUUCUGAUUCAUUUGCCUCUUCAUUUUCUUACUUUUUGUAUUAUUAUUUCCAAGGAAAUGUAUCGAUUGGGAUGCUCUUUUUUUUAUGGACAUGGUUUUAUU